rnacentral:lncRNA from 1 species
AUAGGAUAUGUUCUUAUCCUCUGUUUGUACAGGACCUAGCACAGCAGGGGGAUCUAGACAGCGGUAUGACUGUGAAACACAACAGCACAAAGAGCAGCCUUGAGACCCAGAAGCUGACAUGUUGUAACUUUCCCUUCUAAUAGAGCAGUGAGUGCUGUGUCACCUGCACCAGUGUUCUACAAAAGGCAGAUUCUACUUUUGAGGUUUGCAGAAAACAGGAGGUGACUCAGGCCCCUGAUCCCUGUGACUGGGUGGGAGGAGUAUCAUUAGAUCACUGUGCUAUUUUGAACUGUCCAAGCCACAACCCCAGCUGUCUGCCAGAGUUUCACUGCAGGGCCAUGGCUUGGUUGGAUCAGCACCAGAAAUACGUAAGACCACAAUCCCCUUAUUAACAACUCUGCUUUGCACCACUGUCAGUCAUACCAGAUUACCAACAACCCAGUCUCCCAGAGGAAGAGACCUGCAUUUAAUCCCUCCAGUCCCACCACAGUGCUGUCUGUCCUUCUGAAUCUUUGGCGAAACCAGAGCUUUACCACCUCCCGCAACAGACCAUCUCCCUGGGAACAGCCUGUUUCCUUUCAGCCUAUCUCCAACUCUUAGGAGACAGCAGCUAGUGGUCCUCAAAAGUUAGUUCUUAGGGCAAGGUGUUUCACGAAGCUCUUCAGGGCUUGUUGAAUUGCAGUCUGGCUGCUUCUUUGGACUCCAUAUCAUGCAGACAUCUCCAACUGCAAGCUGUCGGCAUGGGAGCUGGUACAACUGAGCAGUUUUGUCUGGAC